UUAGAUUUCUGGUUAGAGUUGUGUGUGACAACUUGUAUAAUGACAGACAUCUAUGCAAAUCGUGACUUCGUAAGGCUAAAAUAUAACAAACAGCCAACCUCAGUUGAUGAAGCAGACCGGUGCACUUAUGGAAACAGUGAUGACCUGGACUUGGAUCCAAAGACAAAAGACAUUGCAGGUGCCUCUCAAUAUGCAUCUGAACACACAUUUUCAUCUAGGAAAGAGAAAGACCCGUCCUGUAAGGCAGUUCUUCUGGCUGUCCUUAGUGUCUCUCUGCUCGUGGCUCUGUGUGUUCUGGGAAUUCUCUAUUCCCAACUACUGAGGUCAUCUGAUUUGUUAAAAGAGCAGAACAGAAAUGCUGCAGCCGACUUUGAAAUACAGGAGCAGAUUCCCACAGGUGAACUAUUUCUAUAAAAAUCCCUCCAAGAUAUAAAAACCUCCAAGAGCAGUGAAGGCUAAGAGAGGAAGUAACACACACACCUGCUGUUUUCACUAUUCAAGUUACUAGAUUACAGAAGUACUGAUACCAACAAACUAAUUUUAGCUGCCUGGGGUUUUCUUUUUUUCCCAUCUGCAUGUAUAUCUUGAGGAAGAGAAACUUUUUGGUUGGAUACUGUGACCAUCCUUCUGCAGUGAUCUUUAUGAACUUAUAUAUGCUCAAGAAAUCUGCUUGGACAUUUUGCUAAAUAAAUACUCUCUUAAAGUGCAUACAUUCAUGUCAGAUGUAAUGCAUCCAUACACUUUUUUACUAUGUAUCAAAUGUUUCUUGCACAGACAGCACAUUUGAAAGAAGAAAGUACUACUAUUUCUCUUCAGAAAAACUCAACUGGAUGGAAAGUCGAGAUUACUGUACAAGAACUGGAGGUCAGCUGGUCACAAUAACAGGCAAAGAGGAUCAGUAUAAUUUGGCCUCAAAGCUGAAAGAGCCACAUUGGAUUGGACUACAUGAUUUGUACACUGAAGGACACUGGAUGUGGGUGGACAACACAACUCUCUCAGGAGAAAUGUUCUGGCAUAAAAGGACAGCUGGUCUAUCUGAACCUGAUAACUGGACACAGGAGGACUCAGAUGGAGAAGACUGUGCUUGUCUGGAAAUGAAGAGUGAAUGGUUUGAUGCUCCAUGCUCAAAACUAAAAAAGUUCAUCUGUGAAAAGUAAAGCUGAUAGCAUGGUAAUCUAUACCAUUCAAAAGAUUAGGAUCAAUAAGAUUUCUUUUUACGGACAAAUAAAUGUUUUUGUUUUGUACUUUCUAUUCUCCAAAGAAUGA